rnacentral:rRNA from 1 species
UACGGGGGGGGCAAGCGUUGUUCGGAAUUACUGGGCGUAAAGGGCUCGUAGGUGGCCAACUAAGUCAGACGUGAAAUCCCUCGGCUUAACCGGGGAACUGCGUCUGAUACUGGAUGGCUUGAGUUCGGGAGAGGGAUGCGGAAUUCCAGGUGUAGCGGUGAAAUGCGUAGAUAUCGUUUGGAACGCCAAUGGUGAAAACAGGCGACUGGGGAUGUGCUGACGCUGAGACACGAAAGCCAGGGGAGCAAACGGG